rnacentral:lncRNA from 1 species
CAGUCAGUAGUUUCCUUUCUCAAGCCCAACCUAUAGUUGCACCAGAUGCAAGUUACGUUGUUCUUCCAUUUCUGUGAUUUUUCACAAAAGGAACCAUUUAAUUUGCACUGGGUACAACUGUAAGCAGGACUUGAGAUUGACUUUUACCCCAUGAUCUAAGCUCAAAGAAAGAUAGAGUCAGUAAGUUCAAAACGAGUAUGUCCUACGUUUUCUUUUUUCUUUUGUUCUAUAUGUAUAUAUUGUUCAGACAAGAGGGGUUGGUUUGAUGGUAAGCACCCUCCACUUCCAAUCAAGAGGUUGUGAGUUCGAGUCAUCCCAAGAGCAAGAUGGGGGAGUUCUGGGAGGGAAGGAUGCCGAGGGUCUAUUUGGAAACAGUCUGUCUACCCCAAGGUAGGGGUAAGGUCUGCGUACACACUACCCUCCUCAGACCCCAUUAGUGGGAUUAUACUGGGUUGUUGUUGUUCGAGUGAAAAAUAAAUUCAAUUUAGAUUCUAUGAUUCUUCUUGGCUACGAAGCCUCACACGAGUAGAGUUUGAUAUUCUUUUGUUGAUGGCUGACCCCGUUUGGUAAGUGUGAUUGCGCAGGGACAAAAAUGGGCUAAAAAUAACAAAUUGAUUUCCCCCAAUAUUUAUGUCUAGAUAUCUUCCUUUUUCAUUUAUUUAAAUAAAUUGAUUGAUGAAUUUGUUACUGCUUGUUGCAGGCUACAGCGCAUUAGAGAGAGACUAGCCAUUUAGGAGUUAGACUUAGGAUGCUACUGAUCGGCUACUGAUGCAAGGCUAUAUCUUUUGGAUAUUCACCUUACAUCAUUUUCGUAUUUCCUAUAUUUCUUGUAUUGUUGUUAUUUUGUUAUUUUAUGUUAUGUAUUUUAUGUUAUUUACUAUGAGUCUAUUGAUAGUACUAAUAUACUGUCUCUUGUUCCUCUCUUGAGCUGAGGAUCUCCUGGAAACAGCCUCUCUGCCCCUCAGGGUAGAGGUAAAGUCUGCGUACAUAUUACUCUCCCCAGUCCCACUUGUGAAAUUAUACUGGGAUGUUGUUGUUGUUGUUAGUGCAGGCUACAAGAUAGACCUCAAGUACACAAUCUAAUCUUAAAUGGGCAAAUCUUUGUGUUUUGGAAUCUAACUAGGCAUUCAAUUUAAUGACAUCUCAAUUGAAAUUUACACAAAUGUGUGAGUUAAACAUCGGUCUUUGAAACGCUUAGG